rnacentral:rRNA from 1 species
AUGGGAGCGAUGGAGGUGAACCAAGUUUUGGAUACAUAUUGUCAAGCUUCUGGCCAGCGAAUUAAUUAUGCAAAAUCAUCCAUCUUCUUCAGCAAAGGGGUUCCAGAAAAUAUCCGCAAUGACAUAAAGGGCAUCUUGCAUGUACCAAAUGAGACUUUGAAUGAAAAAUAUUUGGGUAUGCCUUCUGACAUCGGUUCCUCAAAGAAUGGUGCUUUCAAAUAUUUGAAGGACAGAUUGUGGAGUAGGAUUCAAGGAUGGAUAGAGAAGUCUCUGUCCACGGCUGGAAAAGAGGUUCUUGUUAAGGCGGUUGCUCAGGCGGUGCCAGUAUACUCUAUGUCUUGCUUCAAAUUACCAAGAGGGUUGUGUGAACAUUUGAAUAUGCUCAUAAGGAAAUUUUGGUGGGGGAGCAAAGAAGGUCAACGGAAGCCGCAUUGGGUUUUUUGGAAGGACAUGACCCAACCAAAAAGCAUGGGGGGUUUGGGUUUCAAAGAUUUUGAGCUCUUUAAUCUGGCUAUGCUGGCUAGACAAGCGUGGCGUUUGCUUCAAAAGCCAGACUCACUGAGUGCUCGCAUCCUCAGGAGUGUUUGCUAUCCAGGUUCAACAAUUCUUGAAGCCAGCCUCGGAUCCCACCCGAGUCAGAUUUGGCGAGCCAUAGUAGAAGGGAGAGAUAUUCUUUAG